rnacentral:rRNA from 1 species
GGAAUAUUGGACAAUGGGCGAAAGCCUGAUCCAGCAAUGCCGCGUGAGUGAUGAAGGCCUUAGGGUUGUAAAGCUCUUUUGCCCGGGAUGAUAAUGAACGUACCGGGAGAAUAAGCCCCGGCCAACUCCGUGCCAGCAGCCGCGGUAAUACGGAGGGGGCUAGCGUUGUUCGGAAUUACUGGGCGUAAAGCGCACGUAGGCGGCUUUGCAAGUUAGAGGUGAAAGCCCGGGGCUCAACCCCGGAAUUGCCUUUAAGACUGCAUCGCUCGAAUCCAGGAGAGGUGAGUGGAAUUCCGAGUGUAGAGGUGAAAUUCGUAGAUAUUCGGAAGAACACCAGUGGCGAAGGCUGCUCACUGGACUGGUAUUGACGCUGAGGUGCGAAAGCGUGGGGAGCAAA